rnacentral:rRNA from 1 species
AAUGAACGUUGGCGGCGUGGAUUAGGCAUGCAAGUCGUACGAGAAUCGUAGCAAUACGAGGAAAGUGGCGGAAGGGAGAGGAUUACGUGGGAAUCUACCCUCAGAACUGGGAUAGCGGCGGGAAACUGCCGGUAAUACCAGAUAAUGUCUGUGGAACAAAGGUGUGAUUCCGUCUGGGGAUGAGCCCACGUCCUAUUAGCUAGUUGGCAGGGUAAUGGCCUACCAAGGCAAUGAUGGGUAGCGGGUGUGAGAGCAUGACCCGCCUCACUGGGACUGAGAACUGCCCAGACACCUACGGGUGGCUGCAGUCGAGAAUCUUCGGCAAUGAGCGCAAGCUUGACCGAGCGACGCCGCGUGCGGGAUGAAGGCCUUCGGGUUGUAAGCCGCUGUCGUAGGGGAGCAAGAGAUGAGGGUACUCCCUCUGAUUUGAGCGAUCCUAGGAGGAAGGACGGGCUAAGUUCGUGCCAGCCGCCGCGGUAAGAC